GAUGAACGCUGGCGGCGUGCUUAACACAUGCAAGUCGAACGGAAAGGCCCAAGCUUGCUUGGGUACUCGAGUGGCGAACGGGUGAGUAACACGUGGGUGAUCUGCCCUGCACUUCGGGAUAAGCCUGGGAAACUGGGUCUAAUACCGGAUAGGACCACAUUUUGGAUGGUGUGGUGGAAAGUUUUUCGGUGUGGGAUGAGCUCGCGGCCUAUCAGCUUGUUGGUGGGGUAAUGGCCUACCAAGGCGUCGACGGGUAGCCGGCCUGAGAGGGUGUACGGCCACAUUGGGACGGAGAUACGGCCCAGACUCCUACGGGAGGCAGCAGUGGGGAAUAUUGCACAAUGGGCGCAAGCCUGAUGCAGCGAAGCCGCGUGGGGGAUGACGGCCUUCGGGUUGUAAACUCCUUUCGCUAGGGACGAAGCGUUUUUGUGACGGUACCUGGAGAAGAAGCACCGGCUAACUACGUG
rnacentral:rRNA from 1 species